rnacentral:rRNA from 1 species
ACCCGCUGAACUUAAGCAUAUCAAUAAGCGGAGGAAAAGAAACCAACAGGGAUUGCCUUAGUAACGGCGAGUGAAGCGGCAAAAGCUCAAAUUUGAAAUCGGCCCCCAGGUCGAGUUGUAAUUUGUAGAUUGUAUCUUGAGAGCGGAUUAAAGUCUGUUGGAACACAGCGCCUUAGAGGGUGACAGCCCCGUAAAAUCUAUUCUCAUUGUAAGAUACUUUCGAAGAGUCGAGUUGUUUGGGAAUGCAGCUCUAAGUGGGAGGUAAAUUCCUUCUAAAGCUAAAUAUUGACGAGAGACCGAUAGCGAACAAGUACUGUGAAGGAAAGAUGAAAAGCACUUUGAAAAGAGAGUGAAAAAGUACGUGAAAUUGUUAAAAGGGAAGGGUAUUGAAUCAGACUUGGUGCUGUUGUUCAACUGUGUUUCGGCAUAGUGUACUCAGCAGUACUAGGCCAAGGUGGGGUGUUUGGGAGUGAAAAAGAAGUUGGAACGUAACUCUUCGGAGUGUUAUAGCCUACUUUCAUAGCUCCUCAGGCGCCUCAGGACUGCGCUUCGGCAAGGACCUUGGCAUAAUGAUUCUAUACCGCCCGUCUUGAAACACGGACCAAGGAG